GCUGGGCAUGGUGGCGCGUGCCUGUAAUCCCAGCUACUUGGGAGGCUGAGACAGGAGAAUUGCUUGAACCCAGGAGGCGGAGGUUGCAGUGAGCCGAGAUCGUGCCACUGCACUCCAGCCUGUGAUAGAGCAAGACUCUGUCUCAA
ensembl:misc_RNA Metazoa_SRP Metazoan signal recognition particle RNA